GGGGUUGUGGCUCAGUGGUAAAGCACUCGCCUAGCACGUGCGAGGCGCUGAGUUCAAUCCUCAGCACCA
rnacentral:tRNA from 1 species